rnacentral:ncRNA from 2 species
AUCUUAUUAAGAGCGGUGGAGGGACUGGCCCUUUGAAGCCCGGCAACCUGAGAAAAUUUUUAAAAUGAAUUUUUUCGUUGGUGCUAAAUCCUGCAAGAGAAUAUCUUGAAAAAUGAGAG